rnacentral:rRNA from 1 species
CAGUCGAGCGGACGAGGAGGAGGAGCUUGCUCCCUGAUGUUAGCGGCGGACGGGUGAGUAACACGUGGGUAACCUGCCUGUAAGACUGGGAUAACUCCGGGAAACCGGGGCUAAUACCGGAUGGUUGUUUGAACCGCAUGGUUCAAACAUAAAAGGUGGCUUCGGCUACCAUUACAGAUGGACCGCGGCGCAUUAGCUAGUUGGUGAGGUAAUGGCUCACCAAGGCAACGAUGCGUAGCCGACCUGAGAGGGUGAUCGGCCACACUGGGACUGAGACACGGCCCAGACUCCUACGGGAGGCAGCAGUAGGGAAUCUUCCGCAAUGGACGAAAGUCUGACGGAGCAACGCCGCGUGAGUGAUGAAGGUUUCGGAUCGUAAAGCUCUGUUGUUAGGGAAGAACAAGUACCGUUCGAAUAGGGCGGUACCUUGACGGUACCUAACCAGAAAGCCACGGCUAACUACGUGCCAGCAGCCGCGGUAAUACGUAGGUGGCAAGCGUUGUCCGGAAUUAUUGGCGUAAAGGGCUCGCAGGCGGUUUCUUAAGUCUGAUGUGAAAGCCCCCGGCUCAACCGGGGAGGGUCAUUGGAAACUGGGGAACUUGAGUGCAGAAGAGGAGAGUGGAAUUCCACGUGUAGCGGUGAAAUGCGUAGAGAUGUGGAGGAACACCAGUGGCGAAGGCGACUCUCUGGUCUGUAACUGACGCUGAGAGCGAAAGCGUGGGGAGCGAACAGGAUUAGAUACCCUGUAGUCCACGCCGUAAACGAUGAGUGCUAAGUGUUAGGGGGUUCCGCCUUAGUGCUGCAGCUAACGCAUUAAGCACUCCGCCUGGGGAGUACGGUCGCAGACUGAAACUCAAAUGU